CUUACCCGUCCCUAUUUCCCUCAUGGUGAGAGACGAUAUUCAAAGUGGUUGACACUAGCACAGCACAGGCAGCAGCCAGUCCAGUGGACACGUGGCCACACUGGCGCACACGGAGGGUAUUCGCUCUGCACCCGGAAAACACCCAAUACACAAUGGUCGAAUUGAAUUUCACUGGCUUAGUACUGCUGGCUGUGGCAUCUGAUGAACUUCUUUCAGAAUUCAGAUGGAAUAACAGUGAGCAAAUUUAUCCUCCCACCUGAAACAACUAAAAACCUGGACAAAUAUAUUUUUUAAAAUAACUGUUUUCAACAUAAUGGACAUCAGGCCGCAAAGAACAAUGAUAUGAUUCCUGAGAGAUGGAAGACAAAUGAGAGUCAGGAUCUCGCU